rnacentral:tRNA from 1 species
UCGGCAGCGAUGGGCAAUCGAACCUUGCCCGUACGAAAUGGAAAAAUGGGGGUUCGAGUCCCCCCUGCCGAA